rnacentral:rRNA from 1 species
AGUGAACGCUGGCGGUGGGCCUAACACAUGCAAGUCGAACGGCAGCACAGUAAGAGCUUGCUCUUACGGGUGGCGAGUGGCGGACGGGUGAGGAAUACAUCGGAAUCUACUUAUUCGUGGGGGAUAACGUAGGGAAACUUACGCUAAUACCGCAUACGACCUACGGGUGAAAGCAGGGGAUCUUCGGACCUUGCGCGAUUGAAUGAGCCGAUGUCGGAUUAGCUAGUUGGCGGGGUAAAGGCCCACCAAGGCGACGAUCCGUAGCUGGUCUGAGAGGAUGAUCGGCCACACUGGAACUGAGACACGGUCCGGACUCCUACGGGAGGCAGCAGUGGGGAAUAUUGGACAAUAGGCGCAAGCCUGAUCCAGCCAUACCGCGUGGGUGAAGAAGGCGUUCGGGUUGUAAAGCCCUUUUGUUGGGAAAGAAAAGCAGCAGGUUAAUACCCCGCUGUUCUGACGGUACCCAAAGAAUAAGCACCGGCUAACUUCGUG